AGUGAACGCUGGCGGUAGGCCUAACACAUGCAAGUCGAACGGCAGCACAGUAAGAGCUUGCUCUUACGGGUGGCGAGUGGCGGACGGGUUAGGAAUACAUCGGAAUCUACUUUUUCGUGGGGGAUAACGUAGGGAAACUUACGCUAAUACCGCAUACGACCUACGGGUGAAAGCAGGGGAUCUUCGGACCUUGCGCGAUUGAAUGAGCCGAUGUCGGAUUAGCUAGUUGGCGGGGUAAAGGCCCACCAAGGCGACGAUCCGUAGCUGGUCUGAGAGGAUGACCAGCCACACUGGAACUGAGACACGGUCCAGACUCCUACGGGAGGCAGCAGUGGGGAAUUUUGGACAAUGGGCGCAAGCCUGAUCCAGCCAUACCGCGUGGGUGAAGAAGGCCUUCGGGUUGUAAAGCCCUUUUGUUGGGAAAGAAAAGCAGCAGGUUAAUACCCCGCUGUUCUGACGGUACCCAAAGAAUAAGCACCGGCUAACUUCGUG
rnacentral:rRNA from 1 species